rnacentral:lncRNA from 1 species
CAGAAGGGAAAGGAGAGGAGUAAAGAGGAAAAGAGAACAGUGGUGGGUGCCUAUAAAGAGCCACACACCUUGCUGCAUGCUCUAUAUGUGGGCUAUUGUUUGUUCUCACAAUGAAUCUGAGUAGUAGAUAUAGCAUGCCCAUUUUCCAGGUAAUUGCUGAAGGAUUUUUGCUUCAAACAGGCUCCUGUUUGCAUCAAGUGUGGGGUGCAGCAAAGUGGACUCGGGACUGGCCGAUGUCUGGCCAGAAAUGCCAGGCAAGAGAAACAGUGACUCUAGUGGGGUCAGGAGAGGGGCAUCUGCUGGCCCAGGAGCCCAAGGCAGAGGGACUUCAUUGUCCCCCUUAUAGGUGAGGCGACUCUGAGGCAGGGGGUCCAAGUUUGCUGGACAAUGGCAGAAACAGAAUUCAAACACCUGUCUUCUAGGAGAAGUUCUGGUCUCUCCUCGGUGCUGCAGCUGCCCCAGG